rnacentral:rRNA from 1 species
AUACAGAGGGUGCAAGCGUUAAUCGGAAUUACUGGGCGUAAAGCGCGCGUAGGCGGUUUAAUCAGUCGGAUGUGAAAGCCUCGGGCUCAACCUGGGAACUGCAUUCGAUACUGUUAAGCUAGAGUAUGGUAGAGGGAAGUGGAAUUCCAGGUGUAGCGGUGAAAUGCGUAGAUAUCUGGAGGAACAUCAGUGGCGAUGGCGACUUCCUGGACCAAUACUGACGCUGAGGUGCGAAAGCGUGGGGAGCAAACAGGAUUAGAAACCCUAGUAGUCC